rnacentral:misc_RNA from 1 species
ACGAAAAACACUCCAAUUGGUGGGGUGUAAGCCGUGAGGGGUUCUCAUCUGUAGUGGACGAGAGCCGGGUGCACAACAGCAAAUGAAUCGCCAGACACACUGUUGGGUCCUGAGGCAAAACUCAGGCUUGUCCCUAAGGAGCACCCAUGUUGGGCUUGAUCGGGUGCUUCCCCGUCCCCCCAUCUUGGUGGUGGGGUGUGGUGUUUGAGUAU